rnacentral:ncRNA from 2 species
ACCAGAACAUUAUAGCAAGGUGACCCGAUGCCCGGAUGUCAGGGCUUAAAAGGUGGAAGCCGGUGAAAGACCGGCGCUGUGCCGCAACUGUAACGAAUCGGAGCCGGUUCGAAGCCAGGAAACCUGCCUUGCAGCGUUUUAUCGU